rnacentral:miRNA from 1 species
GCCAUCGGCAUCUGGCACUGUGGUUCCUGCAUGAACCUGCGGGGCCUGGACCUACAACACCACCUCUGCAAUCACAGUGAAGUCGGCC